rnacentral:SRP_RNA from 1 species
GCCGGGCGUGGUGGCGCACGCCUGUGAUCCCAGCUACUCGGGAGGCUGAGGCAGGAGAAUCACUGGAACCCAGGAAGCUGAGGUUGCAGUGAGCUGAGAUUGUGCCGCUGUACUCCAGCCUGGGUGACAGAGUGAGACUCCGUCUCAA